GUAUUCAGCCGCUCUGGUUUGGGUGCCCUGUUUGCUGGUCCGGAUUCGGCCAGUUGGCGGGUGUCUCCUGGGCUUUGGUGGUGCAUUUGCAAGUGGAGUGCGCUGAGGCCUGUGGGGCAGCGGUUGGAAGUGCGCUUUGAGGAUACCCUUUGGGGUAAAACCCGGGCGUACCUAAGACUGUUUGCCCUGCUUGUACAUGAGCGUGGCCUACGGGUUUGGCUGGGGCUGAGCUGGUCGCCGGUUACGGUCGCAUGCGACACGUGCUGGUGGUUGGUUUGGUUUUGGUCUGACUCCCUCGCUCGCCCUCGGUGUAAAAGCUAGUCAUCUAUCCGACCCGUCUUGAAACACGGACCAAGGAGUUUAGCGUAUACGCGAGUCAUUGAGUGUAAAACUCAAAGGCGCAAUGAAAGUAAAGGUAUCCCUUGCGGAGCUGAUAUGCGACCUCGGGUGCUUCGGUGCCCGGGAGCAGCAUAGCCCCGUCCUAAUUGCUUGCAAUGGGGCGGAGGUAGAGCGUAUUCGCUGAGACCCGAAAGAUGGUGAACUAUUCCUGAGCAAGAUGAAGCCAGUGGAAACACUGGUGGAAGUCCGAAGCGAUUCU
rnacentral:rRNA from 1 species